UGAAACAUCUAAGUACCCGGAGGAAAAGAAAGAAAACUCGAUUUCCUGAGUAGCGGCGAGCGAAAAGGAAGGAGCCUAAACCAGCGUGCGUGCAUGCUGGGGUUAUGGACCGCAAAAAGUGAGCCCAAAGGCAGGCGAAUGGUUUUGGGAAAGCCAGCGAUAAAGGGUGAAAGCCCCGUAGCCGAAACCGGAAGGCAGCGAGCGGGAUCCGAAGUACCACGAGACACGUGGAACCUUGUGGGAAGUCGGGAGGACCACCUCCCAAGGCUAAAUACUCCUUAGUGACCGAUAGAGCAGAGUACUGUGAAGGAACGGUGAAAAGAACCCCGGGAGGGGAGUGAAAUAGAACCUGAAACCCUGCACUUACAAGCUGUGGGAGCACAUUACUUGUGUGACCGCGUACUUUUUGUAGAACGGGCCAACGAGUUACGUUAAGUAGCAAGGUUAAGCACUUAAGGUGUGGAGCCGUAGCGAAAGCGAGUCUUAAAUGGGCGAUUAAGUUACUUGGCGUAGACCCGAAACCGGGCGACCUAUCCAUGAGCAGGUUGAAGCGAAAGUAAAAUUUCGUGGAGGACCGAACCCACGAGCGUUGAAAAGCUCGGGGAUGACUUGUGGAUAGCGGUGAAAUUCCAAUCGAGCCCGGAGAUAGCUGGUUCUCCCCGAAAUAGCUUUAGGGCUAGCCUCAAGCGUAGAGAAACGGAGGUAGAGCACUGAAUGUCCUAGGGGGUAUUGCACUUACCGAAGACUAUCAAACUCCGAAUGCCGUUUUCUUUUACUUGGGAGUCAGACUGUGGGUGAUAAGAUUCAUAGUCAAAAGGGCAACAGCCCAGAUCGUCAGCUAAGGUCCCUAAAUGUACGUUAAGUGGUAAAGGAUGUGGGAUUGCACAGACAACCAGGAUGUUGGCUUAGAAGCAGCCACCAUUUAAAGAGUGCGUAAUAGCUC
rnacentral:rRNA from 16 species